UGUUUGAAACUCCUCGUCUGGGAAAGAGUGACUGCCCUUAGACCAUCUUUCUAAGCACUGGAAGCAACCAAAAGAGGUUUCAAUCACCAACAGCCAGCCAGGGAAGUUGUAAUGAGAACCCUAACUGAGUAAUCAGUUCCAAGACUCUUCUUCUUUUAGCCUUAAUUUUAUCCCCACGGACACAAGUAAGAUGCCAUUCAUAAGACCGACCCCGAAGAGACGAGUUGACCACCAAAUCCAAAAAGUAUAUUGAUUGACCCUAAAGUUGGAUAGAAAGAGAACUGUCCGUCCACAGAGCCAAACCACUUGACCGACCAACCGGGUCCACAUAAACCUUAUUUUUUAAUCCCAAACGAUUCCUCCAUCUCUCCAGUUUAUAUUGAAAAUUCAAAGUUAUUUUCCUGUUUUUGGCAAAUUGGAUGUUCAGAUGCUUAUUGGGUUCCACUGUUGGUUUAUCUGGAAAAGACCCUCUUGCUAUUGCCCACGGAGCUAUUAGAAGUUAUACUGAAUGGAAGCCCAGGAGUUGCAUUCUUUAAUCGCCCGACCCUCCAAGACUUGAAUCAGGAAGAGCUUUUAUAUACUAUGCUGCCUUUUGCCUUGCGCUUGGUCUUUUUUCUUUAUUGCCUUCGCCUGUACAACUACAUUUAUUAAGGGCUUGUUUUGUCUGAUCAAGCAAGCGUUUAAUCUCCUCCUCGCUUACCUUUCUGGGUCUUUUUUUCAGAAGUUCUUUACUUUAUGUUGAUGUCAUCGAAGCUACAACAAUCAAGGCUGGGCCUUUUAUUGCUCUUCUCUUGUCCCCUCGGGUUAUUAA